GACGAACGCUGGCGGCGUGCCUAACACAUGCAAGUCGAGCGGGAUCCAUCUGGUGGCAACACCGGGGAAGAUCUAGCGGCGAACGGGUGAGUAACACGUGAGAAACCUGCCCCGAACUUCGGGAUAACACGGGGAAACCCGUGCUAAUACCGAAUACCCUCUACCGGUCGCAUGGCCGGAAGCGGAAAGAUUCAUCGGUUCGGGAGGGUCUCGCGGCCUAUCAGCUAGUUGGCGGGGUAACGGCCCACCAAGGCAUCGACGGGUAGCUGGUCUGAGAGGACGAUCAGCCACACUGGGACUGAUACACGGCCCAGACUCCUACGGGAGGAAGCAGUGGGGAAUCUUGCGCGAUGGGCGAAAGCCUGACGCAGCAACGCCGCGUGCGGGAUGAAGGCCUUCGGGUUGUAAACCGCUUUCAGCAGGGAAGAAAAUGACGGUACCUGCAGAAGAAGCCCCGGCCAACUACGUGCCAGCCGCCGCCGUAA
rnacentral:rRNA from 1 species